rnacentral:rRNA from 1 species
UGGGGAAUAUUGCACAAUGGGCGCAAGCCUGAUGCAGCAACGCCGCGUGAGGGACGACGGCCUUCGGGUUGUAAACCUCUUUUAGUAGGGAAGAAGCGAAAGUGACGGUACCUGCAGAAAAAGCACCGGCUAACUACGUGCCAGCAGCCGCGGUAAUACGUAGGGUGCGAGCGUUGUCCGGAAUUAUUGGGCGUAAAGAGCUCGUAGGCGGUCUGUCGCGUCUGCUGUGAAAAUCCCGAGGCUCAACCUCGGGCCUGCAGUGGGUACGGGCAGACUAGAGUGCGGUAGGGGAGAAUGGAAUCCUGGUGUAGCGGUGGAAUGCGCAGACAUCAGGAGGAACACCGAUGGCGAAGGCAGUUCUCUGGGCCGUAACUGACGCUGAGGAGCGAAAGCGUGGGGAGCGAACAGGAUUAGAUACCCUGGUAGUCCACGCCGUAAACGUUGGGCGCUAGAUGUGGGGCACCAUUCCACGGUUUCCGUGUCGCAGCUAACGCAUU